rnacentral:rRNA from 1 species
GACGAACGCUGGCGGCGUGCCUAAUACAUGCAAGUAGAACGCACAGUUUAUACCGUAGCUUGCUACACCAUUGACUGUGAGUUGCGAACGGGUGAGUAACGCGUAGGUAACCUGCCUGGUAGCGGGGGAUAACUAUUGGAAACGAUAGCUAAUACCGCAUAAUAUUGAUUAUUGCAUGAUAAUUAAUUGAAAGGUGCAAUUGCACCACUACCAGAUGGACCUGCGUUGUAUUAGCUAGUAGGUGAGGUAACGGCUCACCUAGGCGACGAUACAUAGCCGACCUGAGAGGGUGAUCGGCCACACUGGGACUGAGACACGGCCCAGACUCCUACGGGAGGCAGCAGUAGGGAAUCUUCGGCAAUGGACGAAAGUCUGACCGAGCAACGCCGCGUGAGUGAAGAAGGUUUUCGGAUCGUAAAGCUCUGUUGUAAGAGAAGAACGGGUGUGAGAGUGGAAAGUUCACACUGUGACGGUAUCUUACCAGAAAGGGACGGCUAACUACGUG